UUUGCCUGGGGUGGGGGGCACUGUUUGUUCAGGAUUGUGAAGGUCACAUGGGAUGCUGUGGGAGGAGGUGAGGGAGAUUUUCUAAGCAUUAAGGGAGUUCGUGGAAAUCUGACCUUGAAGAAUUUUUUUUCAGCCACACAGCAAGGCCUUUACCUGAUCCAGGGGCAGGAAUCUGAGGGUGCAUGAACUAGAUGAUGUAUACCAGUCCUAAAACUGUGCCAGGUGACAUACCUGAAAAGGAACUGUUGAUGCUGCCUGGAACUGAAAUGUCUUC
rnacentral:lncRNA from 1 species